rnacentral:lncRNA from 1 species
CUCUGGUCAUCAUAUAAUGGACAAUUUACUGUAAAAUGGGUCUCAUCUUCAAUAGAAUUUGAUCCAUGUGAUAAGCAGUGAUGACAUAGUCGUUGAGUUCUCUCUUUGAUUUUUUACUAUAUCUAUCUUUCUCAAUUCUAAGAUCAUGAGCACUUAUUCUCAUUUUACAUAUAGCUCUUCUUAUACUAAAAUCUUUAAUUGAUAAAUAAGACUCCUU